rnacentral:rRNA from 1 species
AGAUUUAUCCUCGUACCUUUUGCAUCAUGAUUUAGCUAGAACCGUCCAAGCAAAGAGCACUUUAGUUUGGAACCCCGAAACUACGUGAGCUACUCCAAGACAGCCUAUUUAUAGGGCGAACCCGUCUCUGUGGCAAAAGAGUGGGAAGAACUUCGAGUAGGGGUGACAGACCUAUCGAACCUAGUUAUAGCUGGUUGCCUGAGAAAUGAAUAGAAGUUCAGCCUCCUAGCUUCUACCUUCACCCCAAUACAACCAAUUGAUAUUAAAGAAGCUAAGAGAGUUAGUCAAAGGGGGUACAGCCCCUUUGAAACAAGAUACAACUUUCCCAGGAGGGUGUGGAUCAUAAUUAUUAAGGUUAAAUGUUAUGGUGGGCUUAAAAGCAGCCACCCUGAUAGAAAGCGUUAAAGCUCGAACAUUAACCUUCUCCCAUGUAUUUAGAUAACAAAAUCCCAACCCCCUAAUAUUAUCAGGCUACCUCAUGCAAACAUGAGAGUAUUAAUGCUAAUAUGAGUAAUUAGAGAGGCAUGCCUCUCUCCUUGCACACAUGUACA